rnacentral:misc_RNA from 1 species
UGUGGCAGCAGUGUUGUCCUGAGGGUGGUGGAGGGUAGGUGUGCGUGCGGGUGUAGUCCCAGUGUUUUGAAUACUGUUGGAGGAAAAUACGGGAACUUUCAACCCUCCGUGACGGGUAUGUGUGUGUGUCUGACGGACCAUAAGACGUCGUUACAGUGGCGGUACAUGGGUUACAGUGAGGUUACAGUGGCAGCACAAGUGUUACAAUGGCUAUGCAAGUGUUACAGUGAACGUGCAGUGUAAGUUACAGUGGUGUUAAAGUGUUACAGUGAAGUUACAGUGGCGGUACAAGUGUUACAGUGAAGUUACAGUGGCGGUACAGAUGGUACAGUGAAGUUACAGUGGCGGUACAAGUGUUACAGCAGUGGUGCUGAUACAGUGGAGAAGGAGGAGGAGGAAGGUGGAGGAUUCCCCCGCCUCCCUCACCCUAAAUGAUUUGGAAGAUGUAAAUGAAGGAAGAGAGCAAGUCGACCAGCGAUAGAGAUAGGGCGUGGGGUGGAUGAUGGGUACUCGUGGGGGCGACAUCUUGGCCUCUCGUAAGCCUUUCAGCGCCCAGAUGGCACGUCACCCUACCUGCCCCUCUGACCACCAGGGGGUGGUGGAGGAGGGUCGCAGUCGGGCCUCCACGUCAUCCAAGGUCUCCAAGAUCGCCGGCAUGUUCCAGGGUAGUGGUGGAGGUGGUGGAAGUCGGGCCGCCCCUGAAGAAGAGGCGUCCACCACCACCGUCAGCACUGCGGGUGGAGGCGACGGGCCCUCGUAUGCUACCGUGGUCCGCACAGAGUCCCACCUGGCCCGCUUCAACAAUGCCCGCGCCCUCUUUGAAAAGAUGGGUCAGGGAGACUCUGCCCAGCCCAAAGUAGUUGCCCCAGUUAAGGCAAUACCAUCGGCCUCCUUGACUAAGACUGAGGUAAAGCCGGAGGUUAAGGUAGUGUCCAAAUUUGAGACCAAGAUUGACCCUGGCACAACAGAAGCCAAGAAGUCAUCUUUCCCCACCACAACGACAACCACCACCACCACUACCACCACCACCACCGCACGACCGGGCGUGACCACACACCACCUGAGGCGGACAUUGGGGGAUACUCUGGGCAGUGAGGAGCAGGGUCGUGGCAGAAGCCCUCGAGGGGAUUCUGUCUCUCCUGCCAGGUCAGCGGGAGAGGCUUCUUCCUCAUCAUCCCGUUCCACGUCACCCAGCCCGGCCCGCACCACCAACGGUCACACCCACCAGGACGGUGUGGGGCCCGUGGGCAUGGGGUUGGGCAUGGCAAAUCUGGGGCUCCGUCGGCCAGGUUCUGCUUCCAGUCGUUCCCUCUCGACCUCCAGCACAGAGUCCGACCCGCCCCGUCGCUGGCCUCCAGGCAAAGUCGCCGACUCCAAGUUGGCCUCUAAACCCGAGUCAGUCAAGUCGGAGCAACUGUCUGCCUCAGAACUAAGGAGACAUAGGCCUGAGAAGCCAGCCAAGCCUGAAAGUCUGGAAAGGAAGUUCUCAACCCACGAGCAACACCAGGAGCUCAUUGCCAGGCACAAGAAUUGGUUCCAGAGCUUCUCUAAAAACCGCUCACCAGCCUCCUCUCCAUGCAAGGGUGAGCCCCGGCCAAACUCACCCUGUAAGGGGGACGGUAUUCCCCCGUUAUUGGUUAGGUCUGAUGAUGGAAGACCCACUUCUCCUCCCAAACAUGACUGGAAAUCUUCUCAUAUAUCUAAGCUGGACUUGAGGUCCCCACGUGGUGUGUCAAGCAGUGAUGACUAUGACGGGACUGAGGAGAGGUCAAGCGAGAGGGAGGAGAGGUCAAGCGAGAGGGAGGACAGGUCGAGUGAGAGGGAAGACAGGUCAAGCGAGAGGGAGGACAGGUCAAGUGAGAGAGAGGACAGGUCAAGUGAGAUGGAAGAGAGGGAGAGUGAGGAGGGUGUCAGCAGCACUCGGACGGCCAGUGACCAGGAUGCGUGGUCGUCGGUACUUCAGAGCCGCUAUGGACCUCGAGCUAAGGACAUCUUGAGUCCCAGAUCUCGGCUGGAGGGGGAGACUGGCCCGGACUGGAGGAAGGAGAGAGCAGCUAUACUCUCUGGUCGGACGGGUCAACGGCACAGCAGCAGCGAGGACGAGGUCACCGCCCCCCCUGUCAAAGGUCAACCCAGGUCGGCCCUCGAUGCCACUCGCUUCGAGGAUGCCGCCACCCUUCAGUCCGGCUGGUCCCCUCCACAACACUACAACCAAACCGAGACGUCUACCACUCCUCGCGACGCCCAAUCAGAGACGUCGAGCGCGGCGUAUGAGAGCCAAUCGGCGGGCGUGAAAACGUUGAAGGAAGAAAUCAACGUUGCGGAGACGGAGCGCGCCAGAAACGUCCGCCAGAGUGUUAGAGAAAACGGCAGCGCCCAUGAGAGCGUUGGAGGGGAGACUGUAGAAAAGGAGGACAUAGUCGCUCUGGAGAAGAAGGAGCAGGCAGACUUGAUAGUGAGUGAGAGUGUAGUGAUUAAGGACUCGGCCAAAGAGAAGGACCUGGAGAAAAAGGUCGAAACAUUGACUAAGACGGACUUGAGUGAUCUUUACAGCUCGGUGAGUCGAGCAGAGGACAGACCCAAGAAGUCCAAGGAAACGUCGGAGGAAGUGAACCACAAACUUAAGGAGUCGAUCUCAGGACACAGUGAGACGGUAGAGAAACGGGACUUCAGGAGAGAGAUAGAGGAGAGGAGGUUGAGGAGGGAGGAAGUGAUAGAGAGGAGGAGAAGAGACGAGAUAAUUGAACGGAGGAGAGACGAAGUAACGGAUAGAGUGAUUGAGAAGAGGAGAGAAGAGGUGGUGGAGAGCAGGAGAAGGAGAGAGAGAGGAGACUUGUCUCAGAAGGGAGUGAGAGGCAAGUUUGGUGAAGCGAGACACAGAGAGAGUAGCGAUGAGAGUCGCGGUGAGGUGAGACAGAGAGAAAGCAGUGAAGAAACCCGCGGUGUGAGACAUAGGGAGAGCAGUGAGGAAAGUCGGGGAGAGGUGAGACACAGGGAGAGUAGUGAGGAAAGUCGGGGAGAGGUGAGACACAGGGAGAGCAGUGAGGAAAGUCGGGCAGUGAGACAUAGAGAAAGUAGUGAGGAGAGUCGGGGUGAAGUGAGACAGAGAGACAGAGGUGAGGAGAGAGUGAGACUGGUGAGGAAGGCUCGAGAGACGAGAGGCAGAGAGAGAAAACAUGAAGUGUCCGGGAAGGAGGAUCUCCCUGUCUCUGUUGACAGGACGGCACGGAGCGAGGCCACGGAGCCAGCGCCCCGCCCCACUCCUGUCCCUGCACCCGCCCCUGCCCCUGCGCCCCACCCUAUGCCUGUUCCUGCGCCACAAACCACGCCCCCUGCGCCUCAAACCACGCCUCCUGCGCCUCAAACCACGCCUCCUGCGCCUCAAACCACGCCUCCUGCGCCUCAAACCACGCCCCCUGCCCCUCAAACCACGCCUACCAUGGUUGAGGAGGUGGUGGAGGUGCCGGCCGGGGACGUGGUGGUGGGCGGGGUGGUGAGCGCCCUCAAAGCCGAGACGGUGUACGUGUCGAGCACCGAGGACCUGUCCCAGCAGGACGACCACCUCCACAAGGUCGACCUCCUCCACAAGCUGACCGACUCCUCCCCCGAGGGCAAGAUCAAGGAGGAUCUCGACGUUAAGGAGAAGGAGACCGAGAGGGAGGUUAUCAAGGAAGAGGAGGAGGAAGAGAAGGAAGAAGAGACGACAGUCAGACGUCAGCUUUUCCCCGACUUGGUGGCAGAGUGUGAGGGCCGGGGGGUGGAGUCUGACCUCAGGUGGGCGGAGUCCAGACCCUCAAAGGCGGAGUCUGACUUCCCGCCGGUGGACUCCAUACCCGCUCAGUUGGAGGUCGACCUCCAGGCCACUACGGAACCCAUCAAAGAGGUGGAGGGUGAGGUCAAGGGGGAGGAGCCAGAGAGGGUAAUCACGCCCCCUCUGAGCCCUCGGGCCCAGUCAUUGGCUGCCCUGGACGCCCUCAUCCACGGCCGCCCCCAGGACGCCCUACCCACCAGAGGCGCCACCCAGGAGGACGAGGAGGAGAUCGUGUAUGACCACACAGUCACGUCUGCCCAGCACAAACUACAGUUCUGCACUACCCCGGUGACCGUCGAAGGCAUCGCGCCGGACCUGGAGAGCCAUGACACUGAUCCAGAGCCUCUACCGCCUCCCAUACCCCCCCAUGGCGUCGACCCGACCGUCGUGCCCGAGGUCCGUGCCUCAUCGCCGCUGCCCGUCUCCGACUCCGCUGAACCUGAAGUCAUGACGGCCGACGAAGCUCAGAGGCUCCUCAGUGCCAACAUUUUGGAGGGAAAAGUCCGGGAGAGUCAGGGGCUUCUCUCUGAUGAAGAGGCCCAGGAGGUGGUCCUUCUCCUCUCCCCGCAGGAGCAGGACAUCUCCAUAGUUGCACCCCCGGUUCCUCCUCACCUCACAGACUCAGUGCCGGGUGCUCCUCCACACUACUCAGAUAUGCCCCCUGCAGUGCCUCCACACUACGCAGAUUCUGCUCCACCCGUUCCUCCACACUACACGCCCGGGGAGGAUGAGUACGACACUCGGGUAGCUUCCCACUUUGACCCUACAUUAACGUCUCCCUUGAGCCCCGAAGAGGAGCCGUCAGAAGCAGAUUCUUCAGAAGCUUCUGGGGACAUUUGCAAAGUGUCUCGGGUUAAAGAGGUACUGGUGGAGGAUGGAGUUCACUACCUUGAGGAUGGCCACUUCUGGGUAGAGGUUCCUGGACUACCAGAUGAGGAUGAGGAUGAAGACAAUGACCCUAAUAUGCCGUUCCAUCCUCACACCAAACUCACCUUCUCAAAGGACCCGGUGCAGGUCUUCAGCACGUACUCAGUGACGGAAUACGACCGCAAGAAUGAUGAUGUAGACCCGGUGGCGGCCAGCGCAGAGUACGAGUUGGAGAAGAGAGUCGAGAAGAUGGACCUCUUUCCUGUUGAGAUUGUUAAAGGUGAGGGCGGUCUGGGUCUCAGCAUCAUCGGCAUGGGUGUCGGAGCAGAUGCCGGCGUGGAGAAGCUGGGCAUAUUUGUUAAGACCAUCACCCCGAAUGGUGCUACAGAGAGAGAUGCCAGAAUACAAGUUAAUGACCAGAUCAUUGAAGUUGACGGCAAGAGUCUUGUAGGAGUAACUCAGGUAUUUGCUGCAUCUGUCCUCAAGAACACCAGCGGUCGGGUCCACUUCCUCAUCGGGCGGGAGAAGGACCCAGAAAAUAGCGAAGUGGCUCUCCUCAUCAAGCAGUCACUUCAGGCCGACCGUGAACGAGAGGAACGUCGCCGAGCCCUGGGUGGCCCGGACUACGACCCCCACACAGGUCACACGCUCUUUGAUCCGUUGUCCUCGCCAUCGGAAGAAAACUCACGGUCGGAUGAGGCCUCGGUUCAACACAACUACGCCUCUUACAUGGAGGGCGCAGCAUCCCCAACCUCCCCCGAAGCCGCCACGCCUCCCCCGGAAGUAUUUGACCUCGAAGGCGACACGUCCGAUACUUCACCCGAGAAUGACGUGACGAUGCUCAAGUUGAAGUUGAAAGAGGUCCAAUAUAAACAUGCAGUGGCUGAGGCAGAGAUUACCAAGCUGAAGAUGACACUGCUGGAGAUGGAGAAGGUGGUCACGGAGAACACCCAGUAUACUAGUCAGCUCCUCGAAGCCCAGAAUAAGAUGACGGAAUUGGACGGUCAGCUGCAGUCCAAGCUCUCGGAGGUGUCCACGUACCAGGACAUGCUGGAGCAAUCUCAGGGACAGUUUAUUGUGUUAGAGAAGAAGUAUUAUAAGGCGAAAAAAAUUAUUAAGGAAUAUCAGGGUCGGGAACGAGACUUCCUUCACCGGGAGGAGUACCACAUAACUCAGCUCGAAGAUAAGGACUCUCAUUACAAUGCCCUCGUCAAGGCACUCAAGGACAGGGUAAUACACUUGGAAGCCGAGUUGACAAAUGCUCAGAAGAAAGCGGGUAUGCCUGUACAGGUUCCUACCGACCCCAACACUCAGCCAGCUUACUGGAACCUUCAGCAGAGUGCCCAGUCUGCCCUCGCCAAGCAGCCUCCCCGCAAGCCCAGCCUCUGCACGCUCGACCCAGAGAUCUCGGAUACGGAAACUUCCGACACUGGCACAUCCGAGGGGGAAAAAGCCAACACUGUAGAGCGUAAGUUACCUGUCAAAGAGGAACUAGAUGAGGCCGUGCCACCUCAUGAACUGCUGGAUGUCUCGGCAAGUCGGGCGAAGGGGGAGUUGGCCUCUCGUGGUGGCUUGGCCAACCGUCACCUGCCCUCCCUCAAGAAGACCACCAGCAUGAGCAGUGCCAGCAGCCAGGGAAAGAUUUCGGCAUACCAUGAGGACCAAAGUUUAGAUGAUAGCAGCCUUGACGACGAUCUCCCCGAAGCCGUUAAACACCCGCCAGUGGAAGCUCCCCCGGACGGGCAACAGGACCAGGGGAGUCGGAGGUCAGCAGAACCACAGGAGUCUCCCCUACCCCCUCACAGUCCCCCUCAUACCACUAGUAGUAUAACCCACGCUAAGUCCCCCCAGCCUCCUUCCUACACCCAAGCAACUAUGGGGGGCAUGAGCCAUUUAGGUAGCCCCCCUCCUCCUUACCAUCAUCCACCGGGCCAGUUUGCCUCGCCUCGGCAACCAUUCGCCUCAUCCCACGUAAUGUCCGACCCGUCCACUGGUCUACCCACCAGACCCCUGGGCGUCGGUAGUGACGCGCAGACCCACGAAUCACGAUCAGAGUCCCGUCCUGAGAUCCCAUAUCGUCACCCCCCUCCUGUUGCCCGAGUACAACCAGUCAACCGAGCAGAAAUUUCUGAGUCGGCUAGUUUGGCCGCCCACUUGGCCAAUCGUACACCUCAGCAGCAGAGUUUGGCUGAACAGCUCAAGGCUUUGUUAGCUGAGAGAGAGUUAGACAGCGACGGAACACAACACAGAGAGCCGAGCCCUAGCAAAAGAUCACCAACAAGCCUCAUGGAAGACGUCAGACAAGCUGUUUUACAAGCAGAUGUCACGUCCUCAGUUCCCACACAGCAACACUGGCAACACCUGGGCAAGAAGCCAGUAAUCAGUGCUCCUGUUCCUUUGUCGUCAACAGCACACGUGGUCGCUCAGGGUCAGGCGGUGCACCCCGUCAGCUCCCCUCAGCGCUCACAAUCUGCAUUUUACUCUCCUGUAAGUAGGGGCAUCGUGAAGUUAAUCUCCAGGGAGUACAGUGGUCACAAUGUUACUGGUGGCCGGGAAUCAAUGCGCGACAGCAACGCUGGAUCUCAGUCUCCGAGAUUAGGCCGCAGCAGCAUACACGCCAGUCCGGUGAGCGGCGUCAGUGCCAACCCUUCAGGCGUGGUGCUGCUGAGCCAGAGACCGCUUGAUUCUUCUAUACCAACACACAAACUAGGACCAGGUCAGUCAGUGGCUGGUGGUCCAAGGGCUAGAGAGCUGCGUCGGACGUUUCCAAGAUAUUGGCAUGACCGGCCCUAGACUACUUAAUUUAGAUAUACGAGAUCUCAAGUCAUUAGGGCUGCCAGCCGACGAGAAGAGCAAACUGAAGAGAAAGGUUAAAGAACUAAGAAUAGCGGUAGAAAAAGAACGUAAACAAGCAGA